GUCUGACAAUCCGCCUUGAGAAGAGUCUUGAUCAUCAGUGUGUAGCGCGCUACAUCUAUGAGUAAUAUGCUAUAAGACGCUCUAGGAAAAGUUGUUUCUUCUUUUAGAUUCGAUCGUGCCUAUAGUUUUCUCUUUUAUCUAAUGAUCUGUGUCUUCUAUUUUUUGGAAAUGCUUCCUAGAAGAGCGAAUGUCCAUAGAAACAAUGAUGAGAAACGCCC
rnacentral:lncRNA from 1 species